AAACUAGUAUAAAGCAGCUUGCCGGCCGACUGGCCGCACAGUCCGGUCUUGUAUACAGACGUGAGCGUGUGUGUGACUAUCUUACCCUCGGAUUUCCUUCCUUUUAUAAUGGCUGACUCUGACCGCAUCGUGUACCCUGAGGAGGUCGCCGAGGUCAAGGCAGACGCUAUUGCUGCAGCAGAGGCUGAAGACAAGACCUCAGGCGGUGACAGCAACACCGUGGAGACACCAGUUCCCGGAGGAAUCACAAUGAGGAAUGCAAUCACAGUUCCUACGAACUGUCCACCUGGCCAUAAGAUGGGAGCUGACGGCGUUUGUCGUGAAGUGUUUUAACUAUUUGUACGUUAUUUUAAGUUUGCAGCUAAAGAGAGUCGAGCAUAUUUUUGCGUAUAGGUAUAAUGUAAGACUAAAAGUAUGUUAACAGACCCCAUCACAAAAAACUUUUAAAAUUAAAUGCAAGCAUAGACACAUUGCACCAUUGCAUAAACCAGUAUUAUUAUAUUGAAAUCGAAUUGGUGAUGUAUUUUUUAGUAUUUAAGUUUUUAUGAUAUUGUCUGUUUGUGUUGUUAAUGAAAAUCGUAAUUUUUGUUAAUUAAAUAUUAAGUGACACUUUGUA